UAAUUUGCCAAUAUAAAAAUC
rnacentral:piRNA from 1 species